GUUCAGUCAAACGGUCGCCUAGACUACACUUGUCUUGCCAACAUAGAGAAGCGCACUUCAGGACCAACAAAUGCAACAGGUUGAAGAGAGCUGCAAAUGAACCUCUGUCCUUGUAGGAAGGACUAUUGGAGUCCGUGGAUAGAGGUGAGGGAGGAGUGUAGAGUCAGGUGCUACCACUCAUGCAAUUAAGGGGUAAAUGCCUGGGGAGUGAGAGGGUCUGGGUAGGGAGGGACGAGUGAACAGAGGUGUGGGGAGAGCUUUUUCCGGAGAAAGCAAAAAGGGGUGGGAAUGGGAAGAUGUGGUAUGAUCACAGUGAAGAUGCCAGAAAUGUCGGGAGGAUCUGUUCCAUUUUGGAGGAAGAGUAGUAGUGAGAGCAGAAGUGCAGGAAACAGAGGUGAUGGGUGAGAUGGCCCAAACAUCUGCAGCAGGGGGAAUCCUGUUGGGCAGUGCAAUUCAUGCAUGGAGAUCUAGUUUUCGCAUAAUUUCUAUGCCUACGAGCAUUUUGUUAAACAAUUUUUAUGUUAUGUUGUUUGAAAAUUAAAUGUAAUAGACUUUGAGUUCUGCAAGAUCAUGCUGCCCUCUCCAUGUGCCCCUGAUCAAUAAGGGUUGGACAUUCCUAGUAUAGAGGAAAGGAAAUUCCUUCGAGGCUUUUCUAAAAUAGGAAAUACAGUCUAUCAACAAAUAUUAUUUCAAAACAUAAUUGAAGUCCUUCCUUAUUAUCACAGGUGUUCAUUUUUGUGUGUCCAGGCCUAUAUUAUUAUUUUUUACAACAAUAUUUUUAAGGUAUUUUCAUCAGUGCCCUUGCUUUCAGUUUAGUUUAGUUUAGAGAUACAGUGCGGAAUCAUGCCCUUCGGUCCAUCAUGUCCACACCGACCAGCGAUCCCCGCACACUUACACUAUCCUACACACACUAGGAACAAUUUUCAUUUGUACCAAGCCAAUUAACCUACAAACCUGUAUAUCUUUGGAGUGUGGGAUGAAACCAAAGAUCUCAGGCCACAGGGAGAACGUACAAUCUCUGUACAGACAGCACCCGUAGUUAGGAUCGAACCCGGGUCUCUGACACUGUAAGGCAGCAACUCUACUGCUGCGCCGCUGCGCCACCGUGCCACCCAUAUUUCAUGUUUCCAAAAUUUAGCAAGACUACCUUGGGACACUAUGUAUAAAUAGGGAAACAAAAACAAUUUUGAUCUGUCUUUUUAAUAUUUUGUGACAUUGUGACACUGAGGAUUGAGACUGAGACAGAGCCAGGCAGGCACAUACUUGGCUGCGUUCCAUUGGGAAGGGGUUGAUUUUAACACCACUGAUAAACUUUCCCUCCUAUCACUUGCAUAUUCAUGCAUGUUCUUACAAAACAUUAUUGGAAAGCAACAGUGUUAGAGAAGCCAGUCCAGCCCAAGUUCAAAGAUUGCUUGGAAUACAAGAAAGUUACACAAGCUAACAGAUAGCAAAACAUAAAGCACCAAUCAUGACAUGGGAAUAUCUCAAAGUAGUUCACAGCUUAUGAGACAUUUUUGAUGUACAGUCAUUCCUGACAUAUCGUUAAAAUGGAAUCGCAGUAGCAGUUAUUUUUGAUGGAUAAAUAUUAACCAGGGCAUCAAAUAUCUCCUGUUUCAUUUAGAAAAGGGGUCCGAAACCAGGAGCUACAGAUCUAAAUUAAUGAUGCAGUCAUGGUUAUACAGCAUGGAAACAGGCCCUUUGGCCCUCAAUGUACACGCUGACCAUCAACUAGCAAUCUAUACUAAUUUCAUUUACAAGUACUUGAUUUGUAGCUUUCUAAACUCUGGCUUUAAGUGUUGGUCCAGAUACUUAUUAAAUGUUUUGUGAGGACUUGCCUCCACUGCUUUCUCAGGCAAUAUGUCCUCUGGAUGAAGAAAGUUUCCUCAAAUUUCUUCCAAUCCACUUACUGCUCUUCUUAAACCUAUGCCCACUGAUGUUAGAGAUCUCUCUUAUUUCACUAUCUAUAGUGAAUAUGCCCCUCAUAAUUUUGUAUACCUCUAUUAGUCUCCUGCUUAACCACUCCACUCUAGGAGAAACAAUAUUAGCCUACCCAAUCUCUCUUUGUAACGGAAAUGUUACAUCCCUGGGUAACAUGCUGGUAAAUCUCCUCUGCACCCUUUGCAAUGCAAUGAUGUGGCAACCAGAGCUGCAUAUAAUACGCCAUCUAUAGACUCUCACCAAUAUUUCAUAAAACUGUACAAUGAUCUCCUUGCUCAUAUUCUAUACCCUGGCUAAUGAGAAUAAACAUUCCAGAUGCCUCCUAACCAUCUUUUUGACCUGUUCUGCCUUCUUUAGGGAUCAAUGAACAUGUACACUAUGGUGCAUCCGUUCUUCAAUACACCCUAGGGCCCCCACCAUUCGUUCAUAAUGUACAUCAUACCCUUAUUUGACCUUUCAAGGUACAUCUCCUCUCUCGUAUGGGGAUUAAAUUCCCUCUACCAUUGUUUGCCCACGUUUCCAACUGAUAAAUUUGCGAAUUAUACCUCCCACAUGCACUAACAAGUCAUUGUCUAUAUGAAUCUGUAAGAAUCUCAGCAUUACAUCAUUGGUCACAGAUUGCAAUCACAAUAGAAACCCUCCACCAUCAUUCUCAAUCUCUGAUAACCAAAUCAAGUUUGGAUCCAAUUUCUCAACUUGCUUUGGAUCCCAUGAGCUAUAACUUUAUAGACCAGCCUUCCAUAUGGGACCUUGUCAAAGGCCUUACUGAAGUCCAUGUGGACACCAUCAACGACACUGACCUCAUCAAUAUAUUUUGCUUCUUCAAGAAACAUGCUCAGAUUAUGCAAAACAGGAUCAAUGCCAUCAACAAACCCAUGCUAUCCUUGAUCAAUCCCUGCAUUUAAAAGUGUUGAUUAAUCCUCAGAGAUUUUAAAAUAAUUUCCCUAUUAGAUUCAUCUGCCUCUAAGUACCAGUGAAUCUGCCAAAUAAAGACGUCAAGUAUCCCCCAGUCAUCUGGCACCUUGGAACCAUGGACAAUGAAGGUUUAAAGACCUUUGUCAGGGUUCUAGCAAUCUCUUCCUUUGUCUCCUAUAGAAGUCUGCGAUUAAUCUCAUCAGGACCUGGCGAUUAUUUCACCGUAAUGCCAAUUAAGACAUUUAAUAUAUCCUCAAUUUUAAUGUUAAUGUGUUGCUGAAUCUUCCCAUCCCCUUCCCUGAAAUCUUCAAUGACAAGUUUUUAAUUUAAGACCUCACCUGUGUGCGCUGACUCAACAUACAGAUUGAUCCCUAAUAAUAAUAAUAAUAAUAAACUUUAUUACGGACUCAAGGUCCAGACAAGGGGCAACAUUCCAUUAAAAAUGCAUUGCAUAUCAAAUAUCAUAAAUAUACAUAAAGUCAUGGUAUAUCACAUAAAAACAUCAUCAUUUAUAUUUAACAAAAACCCACAAUACUUAAGUAAAAAUCCAGAUUAAAAGAUGAUCAAUGUCCUACAACGAGACAACGAUACCAGUAUCUCCACAACUGGGAUUCGUAGCGUGUAGUGCUAACCCUUAUGUUUGUCAAGGCCACAAUAAGCACAUUUUUAGAGUCAUUUAUCCUGCAAAUUAAUUUAUCCAUGUGGUGUCUUAGGGUAGCUUCUAAAGUACUGACUCCUGCAGCCACAAACAUAUUACUGGCACUACACCAUCUAGGUUGCCUUAGCAGUGUUCUCAUGGCAUCGUUAUAUGCCACCUUUAGUCUCUGCAUACUUGUCUUUAAAUAGUUCGACCACAGUUGUGCAGUGUGGAGGGGUGUGCAGUAUGCUCUAAAUAGCGACAUCUUCACCACAUCUGCACACGCACAAAAUUUACGCAAGAGGAUAUUUGCCUAAUAUUUCCCUGGUAACUCUCUUGAUCUUAAUAUACUAAUAAAGUGCUUUGGGAUUUUGCUUAAUCAUAUCUGCCAAUUAUAUUUUGUGGCCCUUAAUUGCUCUCCUAUUUUUUUUUUUGAAGCACCUCCAUAAACAUGCUGUACUCCUGAAGGGCAUUGCUUGUUUUCAGUGUUCAAAAACAAAACACUGCCAUUUGCUUUUAUUUCUUCAUGAAAUCCUUGAUAUUCCUCAACAUCUAGUGUCCCCUUGAGUUGCCUUCCUCGCCAUUUACCCUAACAGGAACCUAUUAGCCCCAAACUCUCACUAUUUCUCUUUCAAAAGACUUCCCGCUGUCAGAUGCAGAUUUACCUCACUGCUCCCAGUCUGCUUCUGCCAGGUCAUGUUUUAGGAUGCAACAAUGAGACACAUCACUCACUGGUCUAGUAUGCCGCAAAACAUUUUAAUGUUCAUGGGAUAAAUCAAAAUAAGAAACCCGAGCGCCAAUAGUUUGUCCUUCGGCAGACAAAGGAGUGAAAUAAUACAAGAAGAACAUUCAACACUGUUGCUAGGCAACAGGCAUGGCUGCAUUUAAACUAAUUUUCACAGCAGACUUCUCCAAGAAUUAAAGUAGCCCGAGAGCUCUCUAAUCUCAUGACAAUGCUUCUUUAAUUCAUAAUGUCUAGAGUAAUUAUAUCCCAUCUGUGGCUGGGA